UGUCUACUCUGCAACGUCUGCAUUCCGGCGCUGAGUGGGGACAAUGUGGCACAGCGCGAGGCCAACAAGUGGCGCGCCAACAUCAGCCGGACAUUCGAGAACAAGGCCGAGACUGAUUUUCAGGUGUGCGGCCAAUUCGACAACACCAAAGAACAAGCCCAGGCCAGCUGCCCUUGGAACGACGAUAGUGUGAUCUGCCUUGACAUUAAGCACGAUAACUGGGAGGCACUGAGCUGCGGCCGGGUGCCGUUCGACUCGGACAUGCAGUGCUGGACAUGUUGCGGCGGCGCGCUCAUCUGCCCG